CAUCAUGGCUCAGGACGAACGCGGCGGCGUGCUUAACACAUGCAAGUCGAGCGAGGCUCUUCUCUUCGGAGAGGAUGCCCUAGCGGCGAACGGGUGAGUAACACGUGGGCAACCUGCCUCUAGCACUGGGAUAACUCCGGGAAACCGGGGCUAAUACCGGAUACGACCUCUGAGGGCAUCCUCCGGAGGUGGAAAGCAUUGUGGCUAGAGAUGGACCCGCGGCGCAUUAGCUAGUUGGAGAGGUAAAGGCUCACCAAGGCGACGAUGCGUAGCCGACCUGAGAGGGUGAUCGGCCACAUUGGAACUGAGAGACGGUCCAGACUCCUACGGGAGGCAGCAGUGGGGAAUAUUGCACAAUGGGGGAAACCCUGAUGCAGCAAACGCCGGCGUGAGUGAAGAAGGCUCGGGGUUGUAAAACCUGUUGAAGGGAACGAUAUGAACGGUACCCUCGAAAGUCCACGGGCUAAAUAACGUGC
rnacentral:rRNA from 1 species